rnacentral:rRNA from 1 species
AUUGAACGCUGGCGGCAGGCCUAACACAUGCAAGUCGAACGAGUGGCGGACGGGUGAGUAAUGUCUGGGAAACUGCCUGGUGGGGGGGGAUAACGACUGGAAACGGUAGCUAAUACCGCAUACCAUCGGAUGUGCCCAGGUGGGAUUAGCUAGUUGGUGGGGUAAAGGCUCACCUAGGCGACGAUCCCUAGCUGGUCUGAGAGGAUGACCAGCCAAACUGGAACUGAGACACGGUCCAGACUCCUACGGGAGGCAGCAGUGGGGAAUAUUGCACAAUGGGCGCAAGCCUGAUGCAGCCAUGCCGCGUGUAUGAAGAAGGCCUUCGGGUUGUAAAGUACUUUAAGCGGGGAGGCGUUACCCGCAGAAGAAGCACCGGCUAACUCCGUGUCAGCCGCCGCGGUAAUAC